rnacentral:rRNA from 1 species
AGGGGGAUAACUACUGGAAACGGUAGCUAAUACCGCAUAACGUCUACGGACCAAAGUGGGGGACCUUCGGGCCUCAUGCCAUCAGAUGUGCCCAGAUGGGAUUAGCUAGUAGGUGGGGUAAUGGCUCACCUAGGCGACGAUCCCUAGCUGGUCUGAGAGGAUGACCAGCCACACUGGAACUGAGACACGGUCCAGACUCCUACGGGAGGCAGCAGUGGGGAAUAUUGCACAAUGGGCGCAAGCCUGAUGCAGCCAUGCCGCGUGUGUGAAGAAGGCCUUCGGGUUGUAAAGCACUUUCAGCGAGGAGGAAGGGUUCNGUGUUAAUAGCACUGUGCAUUGACGUUACUCGCAGAAGAAGCACCGGCUAACUCCGUGCCAGCAGCCGCGGUAAUACGGAGGGUGCAAGCGUUAAUCGGAAUUACUGGGCGUAAAGCGCACGCAGGCGGUUUGUUAAGUCAGAUGUGAAAUCCCCGCGCUUAACGUGGGAACUGCAUUUGAAACUGGCAAGCUAGAGUCUUGUAGAGGGGGGUAGAAUUCCAGGUGUAGCGGUGAAAUGCGUA